AACCCACGUGCAUAAGCACGUAUCCUUACCUGAAUACAUAGGGUAAGGAGGCGAACCGGGGGAACUGAAACAUCUAAGUACCCCGAGGAAAAGAAAUCAACCGAGAUUCCGAAAGUAGCGGCGAGCGAAAUUGGACUAGCCCUUAAGCUUUACACGCGUUAGACGAACGGUCUGGAAAGUCCGACGAUACAGGGUGAUAGUCCCGUAGUUGACGACGUGUGUUCAGUGAAAUCGAGUAGGGCGGGACACGUGAUAUCCUGUCUGAAUAUGGGGGGACCAUCCUCCAAGGCUAAAUACUACUGACUGACCGAUAGUGAACCAGUACCGUGAGGGAAAGGCGAAAAGAACCCCUGUGAGGGGAGUGAAAUAGAACCUGAAACCGUGUACGUACAAGCAGUAGGAGCAGGCUUUGUCCUGUGACUGCGUACCUUUUGUAUAAUGGGUCAGCGACUUAUAUUCAGUGGCAAGGUUAACCAUCUAGGGGAGCCGUAGGGAAACCGAGUCUUAACUGGGCGUUCAGUCUCUGGAUAUAGACCCGAAACCAGGUGAUCUAGCCAUGGGCAGGUUGAAGGUUGAGUAACAUCAACUGGAGGACCGAACCGACUAAUGUUGAAAAAUUAGCGGAUGACUUGUGGCUAGGGGUGAAAGGCCAAUCAAACCUGGAGAUAGCUGGUUCUCCCCGAAAGCUAUUUAGGUAGCGCCUCGGACGAAUACUACUGGGGGUAGAGCACUGUUAAGGCUAGGGGGUCAUCCCGACUUACCAACCCUUUGCAAACUCCGAAUACCAGUAAGUACUAUCCGGGAGACACACGGCGGGUGCUAACGUCCGUCGUGGAGAGGGAAACAACCCAGACCGCCAGCUAAGGUCCCAAAUUACUACUAAGUGGGAAACGAUGUGGGAAGGCUCAGACAGCCAGGAUGUUGGCUUAGAAGCAGCCAUCAUUUAAAGAAAGCGUAAUAGCUCACUGGUCGAGUCGGCCUGCGCGGAAGAUGUAACGGGGCUAAGUA
rnacentral:rRNA from 1 species